rnacentral:rRNA from 1 species
GAUGAACGCUGGCGGCGUGCCUAAUACAUGCAAGUCGAGCGAAUGGAUUGAGAGCUUGCUCUUAUGAAGUUAGCGGCGGACGGGUGAGUAACACGUGGGUAACCUGCCCAUAAGACUGGGGUAACUCCGGGAAACCGGGGCUAAUACCGGAUAACAUUUUGAACCGCAUGGUUCGAAAUUGAAAGGCGGCUUCGGCUGUCACUGAUGGAUGGACCCGCGUCGCAUUGGCUAGUUGGUGAGGUAACGGCUCACCAAGGCAACGUUGCGUAGCCGACCUGAGAGGGUGAUCGGCCACACUGGGACUGAGACACGGCCCAGACUCCUACGGGAGGCAGCAGUAGGGAAUCUUCCGCAAUGGACGAAAGUCUGACGGAGCAACGCCGCGUGAGUGAUGAAGGCUUUCGGGUCGUAAAACUCUGUUGUUAGGGAAGAACAAGUGCUAGUUGAAUAAGCUGGCACCUUGACGGUACCUAACCAGAAAGCCACGGCUAACUACGUGCCAGCCGCCGCGGUAA